rnacentral:sRNA from 1 species
GUAUAAAUAUAUAGUAGAACAAAGAUAGUGAAAACCAGAAAUAAAAUCUC